GCGAGGAUAUUUAGCAAUGCCCGAAAGGGUGACUAUGCGACGCCGCGUGUGCGAUGAAGGUCUUCGGAUCGUAAAGCACUGUCAGCAGGGAGGAAUCUCAUGGGUCUUAACAAGGCCUCUGGGUGACAGUACCUGCAGAGGAAGCCACGGCUAACUCCGUGCCAGCAGCCGCGGUAAUACGGAGGUGGCAGGCGUUACUCGGAUUGAUUGGGUGUAAAGGGUGUGUAGGUGGCGUACUAAGUCGAAUGUGAAAGCCCGUGGCUCAACCACGGAAUUGCAUUCGAAACUGGUAUUCGU
rnacentral:rRNA from 1 species